CUUGUCAUAUCCAUACAGCUUGAUCCGAUGGAGCACAGGCACCGCCAUUAUACAUCUUUCGCUUGCACCGAGUAGCAGAAUAAGCAUUUGAAGAAUCAAAAUUCAAGUAUUCUAAAAUGGAACAACCUAAAAUCGCCUUAGGCCAGUUUAUUCGUACACCGAUGCAUAGCCAAGGCAUCGUAAUAGAAAUCAAAGCCAACGGCCACGUACUUUACCAACUAUGUGACAAAGAGCUGAUUUUUGAAGCAGAAACAUAUACAAUCUUACCGACCCCAAUUGAGGAUAUACACCCGGGUCAGUUUUGUAAAAUCCUUCAAGGGAGUAAAAAAGGCGUGCGCGGAAGAACGCUAGGCAGCCAGGGUGGCAUGGUGUACAUAAUGAUAUCACCACAAUACCUUCAGCGACGUUUCCUCCACCCAAAUAUGUAUCCAGUCGCUAAAGAGCCAUGGAACAAUUUGCAUGUUUAUCCCUGCGUGUGUCGCGGCUCAAGUUGGUUAUUAUGAAUAAAAAUUAACAAGUAGUGGUUAAUGUA